GGUUAAGCGACUAAGCGUACACGGUGGAUGCCCUGGCAGUCAGAGGCGAUGAAGGGCGUGCUAAUCUGCGAUAAGCGCCGGUAAGGUGAUAUGAACCGUUAUAACCGGCGAUACCCGAAUGGGGAAACCCAGUGUGACUCGUCACACUAUCAUUAACUGAAUCCAUAGGUUAAUGAGGCGAACCGGGGGAACUGAAACAUCUAAGUACCCCGAGGAAAAGAAAUCAACCGAGAUUCCCCCAGUAGCGGCGAGCGAACGGGGAGGAGCCCAGAGCCUGAAUCAGCAUGUGUGUUAGUGGAAGCGUCUGGAAAGUCGCGCGAUACAGGGUGACAGCCCCGUACACAAAAGCGCAUGUGUUGUGAGCUCGAUGAGUAGGGCGGGACACGUGGUAUCCUGUCUGAAUAUGGGGGGACCAUCCUCCAAGGCUAAAUACUCCUGACUGACCGAUAGUGAACCAGUACCGUGAGGGAAAGGCGAAAAGAACCCCGGCGAGGGGAGUGAAAAAGAACCUGAAACCGUGUACGUACAAGCAGUGGGAGCCCCACCACCAAAGCAUUCUCUGGUGUUGAAGGCCCUGCAAAGCAGCAUCGCGGUGGCGGAGCGUCGUUUGCGACGCCCAACACAAAAAACAAGCGGUGAGUGCUUUGGGGUGGGGUGACUGCGUACCUUUUGUAUAAUGGGUCAGCGACUUAUAUUCUGUAGCAAGGUUAACCGAAUAGGGGAGCCGUAGGGAAACCGAGUCUUAACUGGGCGUUAAGUUGCAGGGUAUAGACCCGAAACCCGGUGAUCUAGCCAUGGGCAGGUUGAAGGUUGGGUAACACUAACUGGAGGACCGAACCGACUAAUGUUGAAAAAUUAGCGGAUGACCUGUGGCUGGGGGCGAAAGGCCAAUCAAACCGGGAGAUAGCUGGUUCUCCCCGAAAGCUAUUUAGGUAGCGCCUCGUGAAUUCAUCUCCGGGGGUAGAGCACUGUUUCGGCUAGGGGGCCAUCCCGGCUUACCAACCCGAUGCAAACUGCGAAUACCGGAGAAUGUUAUCACGGGAGACACACGGCGGGUGCUAACGUCCGUCGUGAAGAGGGAAACAACCCAGACCGCCAGCUAAGGUCCCAAAGUCAUGGUUAAGUGGGAAACGAUGUGGGAAGGCCCAGACAGCCAGGAUGUUGGCUUAGAAGCAGCCAUCAUUUAAAGAAAGCGUAAUAGCUCACUGGUCGAGUCGGCCUGCGCGGAAGAUGUAACGGGGCUAAACCAUGCACCGAAGCUGCGGCAGCGACGCUGAUGCGUUGUUGGGUAGGGGAGCGUUCUGUAAGCCUGCGAAGGUGGCCUGUGAGGGUUGCUGGAGGUAUCAGAAGUGCGAAUGCUGACAUAAGUAACGAUAAAGCGGGUGAAAAGCCCGCUCGCCGGAAGACCAAGGGUUCCUGUCCAACGUUAAUCGGGGCAGGGUGAGUCGACCCCUAAGGCGAGGCCGAAAGGCGUAGUCGAUGGGAAACGGGUUAAUAUUCCCGUACUUGGUGUUACUGCGAAGGGGGGACGGAGAAGGCUAUGUUGGCCGGGCGACGGUUGUCCCGGUUUAAGCGUGUAGGUGUGUGUUCCAGGUAAAUCCGGUUCACUUUAACACUGAGGCGUGAUGACGAGGCACUACGGUGCUGAAGCAACAAAUGCCCUGCUUCCAGGAAAAGCCUCUAAGCAUCAGGUAACAUCAAAUCGUACCCCAAACCGACACAGGUGGUCAGGUAGAGAAUACCAAGGCGCUUGAGAGAACUCGGGUGAAGGAACUAGGCAAAAUGGUGCCGUAACUUCGGGAGAAGGCACGCUGACACGUAGGUGAAGUGAUUUACUCAUGGAGCUGAAGUCAGUCGAAGAUACCAGCUGGCUGCAACUGUUUAUUAAAAACACAGCACUGUGCAAACACGAAAGUGGACGUAUACGGUGUGACGCCUGCCCGGUGCCGGAAGGUUAAUUGAUGGGGUCAGCGCAAGCGAAGCUCCUGAUCGAAGCCCCGGUAAACGGCGGCCGUAACUAUAACGGUCCUAAGGUAGCGAAAUUCCUUGUCGGGUAAGUUCCGACCUGCACGAAUGGCGUAAUGAUGGCCAGGCUGUCUCCACCCGAGACUCAGUGAAAUUGAACUCGCUGUGAAGAUGCAGUGUACCCGCGGCAAGACGGAAAGACCCCGUGAACCUUUACUAUAGCUUGACACUGAACAUUGAGCCUUGAUGUGUAGGAUAGGUGGGAGGCUUUGAAGUGUGGACGCCAGUCUGCAUGGAGCCGACCUUGAAAUACCACCCUUUAAUGUUUGAUGUUCUAACGUGGACCCGUUACCCGGGUUGCGGACAGUGUCUGGUGGGUAGUUUGACUGGGGCGGUCUCCUCCUAAAGAGUAACGGAGGAGCACGAAGGUUGGCUAAUCCUGGUCGGACAUCAGGAGGUUAGUGCAAUGGCAUAAGCCAGCUUGACUGCGAGCGUGACGGCGCGAGCAGGUGCGAAAGCAGGUCAUAGUGAUCCGGUGGUUCUGAAUGGAAGGGCCAUCGCUCAACGGAUAAAAGGUACUCCGGGGAUAACAGGCUGAUACCGCCCAAGAGUUCAUAUCGACGGCGGUGUUUGGCACCUCGAUGUCGGCUCAUCACAUCCUGGGGCUGAAGUAGGUCCCAAGGGUAUGGCUGUUCGCCAUUUAAAGUGGUACGCGAGCUGGGUUUAGAACGUCGUGAGACAGUUCGGUCCCUAUCUGCCGUGGGCGCUGGAGAACUGAGGGGGGCUGCUCCUAGUACGAGAGGACCGGAGUGGACGCAUCACUGGUGUUCGGGUUGUCAUGCCAAUGGCACUGCCCGGUAGCUAAAUGCGGAAGAGAUAAGUGCUGAAAGCAUCUAAGCACGAAACUUGCCCCGAGAUGAGUUCUCCCUGAGACUUAGAGUCUCCUGAAGGAACGUUGAAGACGACGACGUUGAUAGGCCGGGUGUGUAAGCGCAGCGAUGCGUUGAGCUAACCGGUACUAAUGAACCGUGAGGCUUAACCUU
rnacentral:rRNA from 1 species